CCUCCCGUAGCUUCAGUGGUAGAGCGUCGGCCUUAUAAGCCGCUGGUCGCAGGUUCGAUUCCUGCCGGGAGGA
rnacentral:tRNA from 2 species